UGGUCAUGCCACUCAAGAUGGUUGUUCUCUUGCUCUCUGUACAUCUUUUGGCCUUCAAAUGCCUGUUUCACUUAUACCAUUUGCAUUUGACUGACCGUCCUAAGUACUUGCCCCAGGCUCCAGCUUACGAUUGUUUUAAUCAACAAGGGCAUAAAGGGCAUGCCCCUCUGGUGGUUUCCCUGGUAACUAAUGAGGCAAAACCUGACAUCAAUUCUCUUGUAACUGGUAAUCUCCUCUUCCCCUGAUGAGAAGACAGCCACCAAGUCCUGCCCACUAUCUGCUGCACACCGUGGGGUGUCAUUCCAGGACCCUGCUACAGACAUAGAACUGGCGUCUCAGGACAAAGCACCACCAUGAAAUUUGUAGAGAUGAGUACAUCUGGAAAGCUAUAACCAAGAUCUGUUUACCUUGAAAAGAAGCUGCUGGAGCCAUGGACUGGAAGGAACACUUAAGUGGUAACUUUGAUUAAUUGCAGGUUGUCAUGGUGAGGAUCUGAGAAGGGUUCUCUUAUGGCUCUGACUGACAAGGGAAGAAUAAUUAUUAUGAAAUACUCAUACAGCCUUCUCCAUAACCAAGGGACACUCUCCAGGGCAAAAAACUUACCAUAUUCCAGCUGUGGAACCUCUCACUCCAGGUUCUUCCAGGCUCCCUGUCUCACCGAAGGGUGGUAUGGGGUGGAGGUUGGAGUGGACAUAAUUGAUCUGAUUAGGAAGGAAAAAGAAACUGGAGAAACACUGUGAAACUCGCAGCCCCAGUAUGCAGACCAAUCAGAAGAUUUUUGAGAUUUAAUUAGAUCAUAGAACACUCUCCCUCUCCUACACUUUGCCACCAUAUCAAAAAGGAUCUAACAUGUAACAAUCAACCAUAGUUGAAAGAGCUGCAAGACUUAGUAAAGCCAAAGUCAAGAGGGGAGAUAAAAAUGAGAACACAGGAAGAAUUUGAAGCUUCUGGCAUCAAAAGCUACAGCAAACAUUAAACAUAGCCCAACUUCUAGCUGAUUAAUAUAAACAGUCACAUCGAAGGCCUGUAUACCUCAAUUCCUCUUACCUAAUACAUGUGAAACUUUCACCA
ensembl:lncRNA